UGGGUUGUUGACUAACAGGUAAGUCACUGAAAUUUGGCUUCAGUCUAUGAAAGUUCGAAUCUUUCCAACCCAU